AACGAACGCUGGCGGCAUGCCUAACACAUGCAAGUCGAACGAGACCCCGACUUUGGUUGGACGUUUAGUGGCGCACGGGUGGGUAACGCGUGGGAAUUUGCCCUUGGGUUUGGGAUAACAGUUGGAAACGACUGCUAAUACCGGAUGAUGACUUCGGUCCAAAGAUUUAUUGCCCAGGGAUGAGCCCGCGUAGGAUUAGCUAGUUGGUGAGGUAAAGGCUCACCAAGGCGACGAUCCUUAGCUGGUUUGAGAGGAUGAUCAGCCACACUGGGACUGAGACACGGCCCAGACUCCUACGGGAGGCAGCAGUGGGGAAUAUUGGACAAUGGGGGAAAGCCUGAUCCAGCAAUGCCGCGUGAGUGAUGAAGGCCUUAGGGUUGUAAAGCUUUUUUACCCGGGAUGAUAAUGACAGUACCGGGAGAAUAAGCCCCGGCUAACUCCGUG
rnacentral:rRNA from 1 species